AACGUAGGACGCGAGCGUUAUCCGGAGUUACUGGGCGUAAAGCGCGGGCAGGCGGUGGUCUAAGUGGGAUGUGAAAGCGCCUGGCUAAACCAGGCGAGGCCAUUCCAAACUGGGUCACUGGAGGGCAGUAGAGGUCGGUAGAAUUCCGGGUGGAGUGGUGAAAUGCGUAGAGAUCCGGAGGAAUACCAGAGGCGAAGGCGGCCGACUGGGCUGCACCUGACGCUGAGCCGCGAAAGCCAGGGGAGCGAAC
rnacentral:rRNA from 1 species